GGUAGCGAUGGCCAACACGAUCCAGUGUUAGCAUGAGGAUGAAGGCAGCUGGGAACUCGACAAGAGCAGAAUAGAGGAAAUCCAGGUAAUCUUGCUCUUAGGUGAUUCAGACUAAACCCAUGGGCAAGGAAAAUGCCAGAUCUCAUCUGAUGUUGUCUUGGAAAUCCUACAUGUAGCACUAUGGCCAAUCCCUACAGAGAAGCUUCAGCUCUCAGCUUCAAUCCCCUGGUUUUGUCGAUGUGGCUUGGUGUUGCUGGGAGCUGUAGGAGCAGGCACUUACCAAUAAUAGAGCAAGAAGAAGAAUUUGGGCAGUGUGACUGUGAGCUGGAGCCACCUCCAGUGUGGAAGCGCGUAAGCCAGGGCGGUGAGGAUGAGGAGUCCCAGCGUGAAGGCAAGCUGCAGGCGCAAGCUUGCGUCUUAAACACCUGGAUUCAAGUAAAGAGGUGCUGUUUGGCAGUAAAUAGCAGUGUCCCUGCUAUUGUUACAUGCAAUUCCUUAAAAAUUGGAUGGCACCAGUGGGGGUCAGCCCUGCUGCUAGACAGGGGGUUCCUCCCCCCCAAAUGUAAUUGCAAGCUGCCGUAACUGAGGACGUAGCC